AAAAAAUUGAGAGGGAGGGAGAGACAGGGAAAGGAAACAGAAAUCAUAACCAAAAAGUUCGCACUGAUUAUUGAAAUAGUCAGUGUUCCCUUGGGCUGUGGGGAAGGGAAAGGCACUUUUACAGUGUCUUGGAAUAUUUUUCUUCUGUACGAUUCUGACUUUUCAUUGUGUAUUUAUGCUACAGUGAGAGACGGGAAGAAAAGAAAAAGAACUCAGAGUUUUACAAUGAACAUUGCAGUGGGCAUACCAUGGAGUCAGACCACCAGCAGAGCAUUAAACAAGGACAGAUGUGAAUGCCAGGAUAAAAAUGAAGACAUUCCUUAAGUCUGAAAAUAUACAGAAUGAAAAUCAAGAGGAGUAGAGGGAAAAGGAUGAAGUCCUGGAUGCUUCAGUUUCCCUUUCCUGCCAUUGCUGCCAUGCCCCUUGCAUAAUCGGGGAGAAGCCAAGUUAGUACACAGAUUGCUCUUCCACUUCAUAGCUAUACAGCUGCAUCCUGCCCCAAUCUCAUUUAUGUCCUCAUCUCAUUUAUGUCCUUUUCAGAAGACGGCCUGCCCUGGGUGGCAAUUACAGUUGGUUAAUUUUGGCACAAUGUGAUUAAAAGCAGAUUGAUAUAAAUCACUGAACAGUGUAACUUAUGAAAAUUCAAGUUGAGGUAGCACCCCAACCACAGUGCUGUCAUGAGAGAAGCUGAAAGCCAGAUGUUGGUCUAACGAUAGAAAUAAUCUAGUAAUGGACUUUGUCUGUCCUCUGGAGCUUGAAAGCCCUACCUAAUACCUUUUUGUAAGCCAGACACCCUCAUGUUACAAUACAUAGUGAGCAUUUUAGAGGAUCAGAAGCUGGUUUAGAUGCUUGUCUUGUCUUAUAGGUGAAUACCAUAGGGGAAGGUUGGGGAACAAGUUAUGUUGGAGCCCCAAAAUGGCUCGGUUGGAGUCCUUUUCUUUUCUUUUCUUUUCUUUUCUUUUCUUUUCUUUUCUUUUCUUUUCUUUUCUUUUCUUUUCU
rnacentral:lncRNA from 1 species